CCUACGGGUGGCAGCAGUGAGGAAUAUUGGUCAAUGGACGGGAGUCUGAACCAGCCAAGUCGCGUGAAGGAUGACUGCCCUAUGGGUUGUAAACUUCUUUUAUAUGAGAAUAAAACAGGGUAUGCAUACCCUCUUGUAUGUACCAUAUGAAUAAGGAUCGGCUAACUCCGUGCCAGCAGCCGCGGUAAUACGGAGGAUCCGAGCGUUAUCCGGAUUUAUUGGGUUUAAAGGGAGCGUAGGUGGAUUGUUAAGUUAGUUGUGAAAGUUUGCGGCUUAACCGGAGAAUUGCAGUUAAAACUGGCAGUCUAGAGAACAGUAGAGGUGGGCGGAAUGCGUGGUGUAGCGGUGAAAUGCUUAGAGAUCAUGCAGAACUCCGAUUGCGAAGGCAGCUCAC
rnacentral:rRNA from 1 species